rnacentral:rRNA from 1 species
UACGUAGGGUGCGAGCGUUGUUCGGAUUCAUUGGGCGUAAAGGGUGCGUAGGCGGCGCGGUAAGUCGGGUGUGAAAUCUCGGGGCUUAACUCCGAAACUGCAUUCGAUACUGCCGUGCUUGAGGACUGGAGAGGAGACUGGAAUUUACGGUGUAGCGGUGAAAUGCGUAGAUAUCGUAAGGAAGACCAGUGGCGAAGGCGGGUCUCUGGACAGUUCCUGACGCUGAGGCACGAAGGUCAGGGGAGCAAACGGG